ACACGUCAAAGUAAGAGACAAAACUGGAGAGACUACUGUGGUCCUAUUUAAUAUUGUUGCGGAGAAGCUCCUUGAUACAUCUGCACACAAGUUGUUCAAUAGACUAUCAUUGGAAAGCAAUAAUGUACCUCCACAAAUCCAAAUUCUUUGUGGCAAGGAAUUUGUUUUCAAGCUACGAUUAAACAAUUACAAUCUCAACGAGGGGCUUAAAAAUUAUACGGUAUCCAAGUUGUUCAUUCUAGAUGAGAAUCUGAAAUUGCAAUACACAACAAGGAAAGAACAAAAGGGGAAAAAGAAAGUUGAGUAUAACGUUGAAACAAAACGUUUUGUUGAAGGAAAGGAUUUUGAAGACUCUCCAGAAGAUCCACAUAUCAAUGACGGUGUUAACUGUAGGAGGAGAAGAACUUCAUUAAGAAAGAUUAGAAAGAGAAGAAACCUAAUCAUACAUGACGAUGAAGUUAUCGAGCAAGCCACAAAAAAAGCAAGAAGUAGAGUGUUUAUUUGUUGGUUUUAGAACUUUUGAUGUUUAAGAGUAGACAAAAUUAUUGUGUCCUUUUGUGCUUUUCAGUAUGUUCGCUGCAGUAGAAGUUGUAUUGAUGUAG